AUCCAGAUGACUAAUCCCAAAUAGGACGAAACGCGCGUCCUGGAU
rfam:Schistosoma rodhaini strain Burundi genome assembly, scaffold: SROB_scaffold0004028